rnacentral:lncRNA from 1 species
AUGAGUACACAUGCAUACUCAAUGUGUGUGUGUGUGUGUGUGUGUGUGUGUGAGACAAGAGUCUGUCUCAGCGCCUUUUGCCACCCAGCGAUUGGAGACAGUUUUAAUUGCAGCAUGACAACCACAAGAAAGGACCAGAAGCCCCAUAAAAGCCAAAGCAAGCUGGCAGCUGUCCCACAGUGGAAAGCUAGCCAUGCCAUAAUUACAGGACUGCGGUGCCUCUCAGGAAGACUUGGACAUCACCGGCAAUCAAGGAGACAACGAGCCCCCAAAAUGGCUGCCUUGGUGCCAGGGGGACCACAGGCUGCUCUCCCAUCUCCCAUAAUCACCGGGGCGAUGCUCGGAUGCCUCCCCCAUUUGCAUAAUGCCAUCCUGACACUUUCACUUCCGCCAUCCAUCACCGGCGGCGUGAGUCCCGCGGCCUGCUCCGUCGCUCCGUCUCCCCCUGAUUGCGUCCUGUGUUUAUCUGCCCAAGCACAAAAGAUUGAUUCCCCGCUGUCUCUCGGCCUUAUGUUCAGCAGAUAGGGAUUUUCGCCGAAUGAUGAAGCACCCAGUCAGCUAAUGAUAAACAGAAAACACAUAUUCAAAAGGACGGUCUCCCCCCUCUCUCCGGCUUUAGUGUGGCUGCCGCUCGCCUCAGCUUCUCCUCUGCCAUGUGUGGGGAAGGGAGGGAUGUCAGGUUAAGGAAGUGAACACACUCUGCAGGGAGUUCAAUUUGAAACGCAAUUGUUUUCCUGUCAGUCCUUUUACAUUUUUUCUGUUGAUUUGCUCCAG